rnacentral:lncRNA from 1 species
UCACAAUUCUCAUAGGACGAUCUGAUGACUAAAUAGAGGACUCACGUAAAAUGCUGAGUCCAGUCCCGGGUAUGGAGCAGGGCUCGGGAACCUACAGAAAAUACCGAGUCCGGUCCCAGGUAUGGAGCAGAGCUCGGGAACUCACAUAAAAUACUGAGUCCAGUCCCGGGUAUGGAGCAGAGCUCGAGAAUUCACAGAAACUUCCGAGUCCAGUCCCAGGUAUGAAGCAGAGCUCCGGAACUCACAGAAAAUUCCGAGUCCGGUCCCAGGUGUGGAGCAGAGCUCGGGAACUCACAGAAAAUGCUGAGUCCGGUCCCAGGUAUGGAGCAGAGCUCGGGAACUCACAGAAAAUUCCGAGUCCGGUCCCAGGUGUGGAGCAGAGCUCGGGAACUCACAGAAAAUUCCGAGUCCGGUCCCAGGUGUGGAGCAGAGCUCGGGAACUCACAGAAAAUGCUGAGUCCGGUCCCAGGUAUGGAGCAGAGCUCGGGAACUCACAGAAAAUUCCGAGUCCGGUCCCAGGUAUGGAGCAGAGCUCGGGAACUCACAGAAAAUGCCGAGUCCCGUCCCAGAGAAGGCUCAGGAAGACCAUUG